rnacentral:rRNA from 1 species
AUACGAAGGGGGCUAGCGUUGUUCGGAAUUACUGGGCGUAAAGCGCGCGUAGGCGGAUACUUAAGUCAGGGGUGGAAUCCCGAGGCUCAACCCCGGAACUGCCUCCGAUACUGGCAAUCUUGAGGUCGAGAGAGGUGAGUGGAAUUCCGAGUGUAGAGGUGAAAUUCGUAGAUAUUCGGAGGAACACCAGUGGCGAAGGCGGCUCUCUGGACUGACACUGACGCUGAGGUGCGAAAGCGCGGGUAGCAAACAGGAUUAGAAACCCCGGUAGUCC